rnacentral:rRNA from 1 species
AUUGAACGCUGGCGGCAGGCCUAGCACAUGCAAGUCGAACGGUAACAGGAAGAAGCUUGCUUCUUUGCUGACGAGUGGCGGACGGGUGAGUAAUGUCUGGGAAACUGCCUGAUGGAGGGGGAUAACUACUGGAAACGGUAGCUAAUACCGCAUAACGUCGCAAGACCAAAAAGGGGGGCCUUCGGGCCUCUUGCCAUCGGAUGUGCCCAGAUGGGAUUAGCUAGUAGGUGGGGUAACGGCUCACCUAGGCGACGAUCCCUAGCUGGUCUGAGAGGAUGACCAGCCACACUGGAACUGAGACACGGUCCAGACUCCUACGGGAGGCAGCAGUGGGGAAUAUUGCACAAUGGGCGCAAGCCUGAUGCAGCCAUGCCGCGUGUAUGAAGAAGGCCUUCGGGUUGUAAAGUACUUUCAGCGGGGAGGAAGGGAGUAAAGUUAAUACCUUUGCUCAUUGACGUUACCCGCAGAAGAAGCACCGGCUAACUCCGUG